ACGCAGGCCUAGUUGCUAAUUUUAGCCGCUGCCUGUCCGACGGAGGCAGGGUGAGACUGCAGAGAGCCCAUUCAUUGUACCGGGGCGGGACCGACUAUUUUAACGCCACGAUUGUGAUCCUGCCAAGCCAAAUAUAGUCGUAGACAGGUAUUUUUAGGCACAGAGUGUGUCCCCGGUUCUCUCAUCUGGCAAAGCGCGGCGUAUAUUGUAGCGUCUGAAAUGAGCCGCGGCUCUGAAAGUGUAAAGCUGUUUUUCGGCUGGAUAGUUUUACAGUCAGCUGAUAGCAGCCAUACCCCGGAGAGAGGGAGAGGGAGAGAGGGACUGACGGGGGUAAAUCCCAGUAACCCCACAGGUUUCCCCUCACUCCGGGGGAAAGGGUGGAAAAGAGCGUAGAUCCGAAGAUAAAUAGCCGGCAAGUCUUCACACAGACACAGUCAACAGACGCUUGAAAAUAACCACAUUACAGAGCACCAGCUGCACUUCAGCUUUCUGAGCCUCGUCUGAAGGGGUAAAAAAAAGAAGAUAAAUAAGAAGAUCCCAACAAACCCACACCUCACCCUGAAGCUGCCUGAAGAUUAUGGAUUGAGGAAGGGGCCAUUAUCCAUUCAUUCUGACAUGCCUGGGCUCAAAUGUCUGCAAGCCCUGAAGUGGUUAUCCUGAUGACUGCCGGAGCAUUAAGAGGGAACUCCCUACUGGGAGACGCAGCAGGUUUCUGCUUUUGGGCGUCCCUCACUUGGUCAUCAAACGCGGAUCAAUUUCAGCCGCAUGUCCAUCCAUUUCAUGCUUUACCAACCAGGACUGAGAUCAGGGAGUUUUUAAUGAUGGACAGAGAAACAUUGAUUCUCAAGAAACUACUUAUAGUUCUAUGUUUUACCCUUCGGUGACAGCCUGCCCAGAAAACUGGAGAAAUUUGCCCACAAGUGCCUUCCUUCGUUCCUUCCUACAACUACCCAUCCAUUCAUCCAACCUGUCUACAAAGGCCUGUCAUAACAAAUGAAGAUCCAACACGAUCGAUGAAGAACAGCUCAUAGAAAACUGUUCAAACCAUCAUGUGAACACGGUAAGAAAAUGCCCUCCACUCAAACUGGCCAACAUUCUACAGCUCAGGUGGGAGAAUCUGUUGAUUAAAAUCAUAAAUUUCCUCCUGCAUAUCACCUUGAUCCACACUGUGAGACAUGGUAGUGGCAGCAUCAUGCAGCUGUGUUAACCUCUGUCUGUCUUCAGUGGGGCUGAAAACAACCACACGCUUCACUUUUCAUAUUUUUACAGCAAAGAAAAAAUCAAAAUCCAUGCUUCCUUUUCCUUUCUCUUCCCACAUUUACAACUUUAUGUUGGUUUUACACAAAACAAUUUUAACAAAAUGCAAGUUCAUGGUUGUAACAAUAAGAAGCAUGGAAAAGAAUAAGAAAAGCUUUCCUCACUGCUCGACCGCUGAAGGAAACAGCAAGUUGACGGGUGUAGAUGCUGCCAUGAGGAGUUAGAAACUACAGGUUGCAGCAACAGAGGCGGCAACAGUUCUCCACACUCUGCCU